CCAGACUCCUACGGGAGGCAGCAGUGGGGAAUAUUGCACAAUGGAGGAAACUCUGAUGCAGUGACACCGCGUAUAGGAAGAAGGUCUUAGGAUUGUAAGCUAUUGUCGUGUGAGAAGAAAAUGACCAUCACAGGAGGAAGCCCUGGCUAAAUAUGUGCCAGCAGCCGCGGUAAUACAUAUGGGGCGAGCGUUAUCCGGAUUUAUUGGGUGUAAAGGGUGCGUAGGCGGGAAAAUAAGUCAGUAUGUGAAAUCCCUCGGCUCAACUGAGGAACUGCAACUGAAACUAUUUUUCUUGAGUGUUGAAGGGGAAAGUGGAAUUCCUAGUGUAGCGGUGAAAUGCGUAGAGAUUAGGAGGAACACCAGUGGCGAAGGCGACUUUCUGGGCAACAACUGACGCUGAGGCACGAAAGUGUGGGGAGCAAACAGGAUUAGAUACCCUGGUAGUCCACACCGUAAACGAUGGAUACUAGGAGUUGGCAAAAAUAUUGUCGGUUCCGCAGUUAACGCAUUAAGUAUCCCACCUGGGGAGUACGACCGCAAGGUUAAAACUCAAAGGAAUUGACGGGGGCCCGCACAAG
rnacentral:rRNA from 1 species